UAAACAAAUAAGUUUUUGCGUAAUAAUUAAAAUAAUAAGUUUUUAUGUUGUAGUUGAAAUAAAAAAUCUCAAUAACUCAUUAAUAAUUGAUUUAAUUUGUAUAACUCCAUACUGCCAAAAAUGGACAUAGUGCAACAACAUCAACAACAACAACAACAACAACAACAACAAUAACAACAACAACAAUGACAACAACAUUAAUAGUGUUUUUUUAAAUCUUCCUAAAAAUGGUACGAAACUAUAUUAACGAAUCACAACAAAGAAGAAACAAUGUUAUUGGCAGUGGUACAAAUUACACAAUAUAAAAGAUCAAGUAGUAGAGAGUUUAAUAUACCAAGUAAUAACCUAGAAAGGUUAUGCAUAUCCAAAAGAUUGCCAUCUACAUCUAACGCUUCGGUUCAAACUGAAGCUGAACUUAAUUGUCAAAUAAUUCCUCCAAAUUCUAACAAUUAUAAAAUAUUUAAUGUUAAUUAACAUUAGCCAAGUUCAUCACAUAAACCUGAUAACGCAGCUAUAUGUGGAUGACGGAGACCUUUUUUUCUAAAUAUAUCAAACAUAUUUUUAUCCAUGCAUGUUGUUUCAACAAUCGCCCUUGUCUGGUAUUAAUUGACAACCAUAGCUCUUACCUUGAUGUAGCAGUGCUUGAUUUUUGUAAAGAAAAUGGUAUCACACUUUUAUUUUUUCCAGCACAAUUGGUAAGCUACCAUUAUUACCACCUUUAGAUAGAAUUGUUUAAGGUCCUUUUUUUAAAAGUUUGAACUCAGAGUGUGAUGCAUGGGUUACUGUAAACAAACGACCUAUGAUUUUCUAUGACGUAUUUGGUAUAGUAAGAACAGGACUUCCCAAUGCUCUAAGGAACGCAGUCAGUGAUUUGUUUUAUUUUUGUUAAAUGAAAAAAAAUCUUUUUUGAAUGGAUAAAUAUCUUUGCAAAGCAACAGGUAAUUAUCUAUCUAACAAAGAUAUUCUAAAAAAAAAUGAUUUUCUCAUAUUUAAUAGACAAGACUCACUGAAGUGUCAUCUUUUGAUUUUAUCAUCAAUAAACAAACACCUAACAAUGAAGUUUCAGCUGUGUAUUGUAAACAAACACAAAGCAACAAGGUGUCAGCUGUGGAUUGUAAACAAAAUAUUCUCAAAAAACUGUCUUGUGUCUUAGUUGCUUCAAACCAUUCUCAAAUAGCCUUCAAAGUGCUAUGUGAAUACAGUGUUCAAGCUGUGAGUGGUGGGCAUAUUUUAGUUGUGUAGAAAAAGAUGUCAAGGGAUUAGAUUAUAUAUAUUUCUACUGUUGUAAAUAAAAUAUUAUUGUUA